CAGUAGCCACGGGAAUACAGAGGGUGCGAGCGUUAAUCGGAUUUACUGGGCGUAAAGCGCGCGUAGGCGGCUUCUUAAGUCGGAUGUGAAAUCCCUGAGCUUAACUUAGGAAUUGCAUUCGAUACUGGGAAGCUAGAGUAUGGGAGAGGAUGGUAGAAUUCCAGGUGUAGCGGUGAAAUGCGUAGAGAUCUGGAGGAAUACCGAUGGCGAAGGCAGCCAUCUGGCCUAAUACUGACGCUGAGGUACGAAAGCGUGGGGAGCAAACAGGAUUAGAUACCUCCGUAGUCCCUGUCUCUUAUAC
rnacentral:rRNA from 1 species